UGGGCUGGAGAGUUCCAGCUGGCAGACCAGACUGUUCUGGGAGACUGGACAAUCAAAGUCCAACCAAGGGAUGAAGUCAUCAUGACAUCUAAAAGCUUUACAGUUGCUGAGUACCAACUGCCUCGUUUUGAAGUAAAGGUGGACCUUCCUUCGUUUGCUCUGACAUCUGACAAGAUGUUGUCUGGCACAGUGACGG